GGGUAUAGCUCAUUGGUAGAGCGCAUGCUUAGCAUGCACGCAUGGUCCUGGGUUGAAUCCCCAGUACCUCCA
rnacentral:tRNA from 1 species